rnacentral:rRNA from 1 species
UUAACACAUGCAAGUCGAGCGGGGAAAGGUAGCUUGCUACCUGACCUAGCGGCGGACGGGUGAGUAAUGCUUAGGAAUCUGCCUAUUAGUGGGGGACAACAUUCCGAAAGGAAUGCUAAUACCGCAUACGCCCUACGGGGGAAAGCAGGGGAUCUUCGGACCUUGCGCUAAUAGAUGAGCCUAAGUCAGAUUAGCUAGUUGGUGGGGUAAAGGCCUACCAAGGCGACGAUCUGUAGCGGGUCUGAGAGGAUGAUCCGCCACACUGGGACUGAGACACGGCCCAGACUCCUACGGGAGGCAGCAGUGGGGAAUAUUGGACAAUGGGCGCAAGCCUGAUCCAGCCAUGCCGCGUGUGUGAAGAAGGCCUUUUGGUUGUAAAGCACUUUAAGCGAGGAGGAGGCUACCGAGAUUAAUACUCUUGGAUAGUGGACGUUACUCGCAGAAUAAGCACCGGCUAACUCUGUGCCAGCAGCCGCGGUAAUACAGAGGGUGCGAGCGUUAAUCGGAUUUACUGGGCGUAAAGCGUGCGUAGGCGGCUUUUUAAGUCGGAUGUGAAAUCCCUGAGCUUAACUUAGGAAUUGCAUUCGAUACUGGGAAGCUAGAGUAUGGGAGAGGAUGGUAGAAUUCCAGGUGUAGCGGUGAAAUGCGUAGAGAUCUGGAGGAAUACCGAUGGCGAAGGCAGCCAUCUGGCCUAAUACUGACGCUGAGGUACGAAAGCAUGGGGAGC